UACGAAGGGGGCUAGCGUUGCUCGGAAUCACUGGGCGUAAAGGGUGCGUAGGCGGGUCUUUAAGUCAGGGGUGAAAUCCUGGAGCUCAACUCCAGAACUGCCUUUGAUACUGAGGAUCUUGAGUCCGGGAGAGGUGAGUGGAACUGCGAGUGUAGAGGUGAAAUUCGUAGAUAUUCGCAAGAACACCAGUGGCGAAGGCGGCUCACUGGCCCGGUACUG
rnacentral:rRNA from 1 species